UGAUGGGUCAUGUAUAUUACUUGCCAGG
rnacentral:piRNA from 1 species